rnacentral:rRNA from 1 species
AUAGCACGGGGAAACUCGUAUUAAUACCGCAUACGACCUACGGGAGAAAGGGGGCAGUUUACUGCUCUCGCUAUUAGAUGAGCCUAAGUCGGAUUAGCUAGAUGGUGGGGUAAAGGCCUACCAUGGCGACGAUCUGUAGCUGGUCUGAGAGGAUGAUCAGCCACACCGGGACUGAGACACGGCCCGGACUCCUACGGGAGGCAGCAGUGGGGAAUAUUGGACAAUGGGGGAAACCCUGAUCCAGCCAUGCCGCGUGUGUGAAGAAGGCCUUUUGGUUGUAAAGCACUUUAAGCAGUGAAGAAGACUCCGUGGUUAAUACCCACGGACGAUGACAUUAGCUGCAGAAUAAGCACCGGCUAACUCUGUGCCAGCAGCCGCGGUAAUACAGAGGGUGCAAGCGUUAAUCGGAAUUACUGGGCGUAAAGGGAGCGUAGGUGGCUCUAUAAGUCAGAUGUGAAAUCCCCGGGCUCAACCUGGGAACUGCAUCUGAAACUGUAGAGCUAGAGUAUGUGAGAGGAAGGUAGAAUUCCAGGUGUAGCGGUGAAAUGCGUAGAGAUCUGGAGGAAUACCGAUGGCGAAGGCAGCCUUCUGGCAUAAUACUGACACUGAGGCUCGAAAGCGUGGGUAGCAAACAGGAUUAGAUACCCUGGUAGUCCACGCCGUAAACGAUGUCUACUAGUCGUUGGGUCCCUUGAGGACUUAGUGACGCAGCUAACGCAAUAAGUAGACCGCCUGGGGAGUACGGCCGCAAGGUUAAAACUCAAAUGAAUUGACGGGGGCCCGC